GAAAAGUUCCAGAUGCUAUGUUUGUUAGAGCCCACGCUGCUUCAAACUGCAACGUGUAAUUCUCACUCCUCUCUAGAAAUUUCACAAAUCUCUGUACGACUCCUGGUUUUUGGAUGACUUCAUCUAUGGGCGGAUUAGGCUCUUUAGAUAGCAACUUUCUGAAUUUCUGAGUUGCUGUGAGUUGCUGAUCAGGAUCAUCCGAGAAAAUCAUCUGCACCAUAUCUACUGUAAUAACUUCUUCCUCUGGAAUGGGUACAGUAGAGCUGAUGUCAGGAUCUUGAAUUGGACUUUCCACCAUAGAUUCUUCAUUUCCCGGGAGAGAAACAUUUCGGCGUUUAAAGAGUUGUUCUUCCCUUUUCUGUUUCCGAAGCUGGAUUCCUUCCUCUUCUCUUCGUCUGCGCAUUUCUUGCGGAUUAAGUGCAUUAUUUUUGUAGCUUUUCAUUCUGAAGUUAUCCUUCCCUGGGCUUGACAUGAUGUCCAUCGCAGCGGGGACGCACCGCGCCCGCCGCCCCCGAGGCGAGAGAACCCCACAGCGCUGCACUUUGCGCGGAACGCGGCGCUGAGCCCCCAGCCGGAGCGCAAGAUGGCGGCCGCCGCGCGCCGCACUAC
rnacentral:lncRNA from 1 species